UACAGAGACUGCAAGCGUUGUUCGGAUUUAUUGGGCGUAAAGAGCGUGUAGGCGGCUUUGCAAGUCCGUUGUGAAAACUCGAGGCUCAACCUCGAGACGCCGGUGGAAACUGCAAAGCUAGAGUCCGGAAGAGGAGAGUGGAAUUCCUGGUGUAGCGGUGAAAUGCGCAGAUAUCAGGAAGAACACCCGUGGCGAAGGCGGCUCUCUGGGACGGUACUGACACUGAGACGCGAAAGCGUGGGGAGCGAACAGG
rnacentral:rRNA from 1 species